GAUGAACGCUAGCGGCAGGCUUAAUACAUGCAAGUCGAGGGACAGCACAGGUAGCAAUACUGGGUGGUAACCGGCAAACGGGUGCGGAACACGUACACAACCUUCCUUUAAGUGGGGGAUAGCCCAGAGAAAUUUGGAUUAAUACCCCGUAAUAUAGUUGAAUGGCAUCAUUUGAUUAUUAUAGCUACGGCGCUUAAUGAUGGGUGUGCGGCUGAUUAGAUAGUUGGCGGGGUAACGGCCCACCAAGUCUACGAUCAGUAGCUGAUGUGAGAGCAUGAUCAGCCACACGGGCACUGAGACACGGGCCCGACUCCUACGGGAGGCAGCAGUAAGGAAUAUCGGUCAAUGGACGCAAGUCUGAACCAGCCAUGCCGCGUGAAGGAUUAAGGUCCUCUGGAUUGUAAACUUCUUUUAUUUGGGACGAAAAAGGGCCUUUCUAGGUCAACUGACGGUACCAGAUGAAUAAGCACCGGCUAACUCCCUGCCAGCCGCCGCAGUAAAAC
rnacentral:rRNA from 1 species